GGCAACACCGGAGGAAGAGCCGCUGUAGCGGCCGCCGGUGCUCCGCGUACCAGCGGCGCCCAGACGGGAGCGCGAGAGGCUCAAGCUUACCUCAUUAGAAAUAUGUUCAGAGACUAGUGUCCGUACAGCACCUCUCCAGGACUGGUGCUGUCACAUACACACCUGGAGUCUCCAGCAUCUGUGGGACAGAGAUCAUACAUUUUUCUAAUGUGAAAUCAGCACCAUUUUGUUUAGAAAGAGAAGAACACAGAAAGAGAAGCAGAACACAGAAAAUCUUUGGUAAUUUGCUGCCAUCUGGCAGCAGUGAAGAGCAAGACCAGUAAAAAAAAGUUACUUAUAGUAGCAGUUUAUUGCACUAGAAAGCCACACAAGCCUUAAAAGCAGAGCUUCUGCUGGUACUGAUGACACUUUGCUACCUCCAGAUUCCAGCACUGGCAACAACAUUUUUGUAUUGCUACAGUCUUUAACAUUUCAUUUGUUAUAACAUCUUACCC